GGGGAUGUCGUACAGUGGUAGUACACUAUGUUUGCACCAUAGUAACUGGAGUUCGAUUCUCCACAUCUCCA
rfam:Cryptococcus amylolentus CBS 6039 supercont1.15, whole genome shotgun sequence.